rnacentral:rRNA from 1 species
UACGGAGGGUGCGAACGUUAAUCGGAAUCACUGGGCGUAAAGCGCGCGUAGGCGGUCUGUUAAGUGGGAUGUGAAAUCCCCGGGCUUAACCUGGGGAAUUGCAUUUCAAACUGGCCGACUAGAGUACGGUAGAGGGAGGUAGAAUUUCCUGUGUAGCGGUGAAAUGCGUAGAUAUAGGAGGAAUACCAGUGGCGAAGGCGCCUCCUGGGAUCGAUACUGACGCUGA